rnacentral:rRNA from 1 species
ACACCGGCAGCUCUAGUGGUAGCAGUUUUUAUUGGGCCUAAAGCGUCCGUAGCCGGUUUAAUAAGUCUCUGGUGAAAUCCUGUAGCUUAACUGGGGGAAUUGCUGGAGAUACUAUUAGACUUGAGACCGGGAGAGGUUAGAGGUACUCCCAGGGUAGAGGUGAAAUUCUGUAAUCCUGGGAGGACCGCCUGUUGCGAAGGCGUCUAACUGGAACGGUUCUGACGGUGAGGGACGAAAGUUAGGGGCGCGAACCGGAUUAGAUACCCGGGUAGUCCUAACUGUAAACGAUGCGGACUUGGUGUUGGGGUGGCUUUGAGCUGCUCCAGUGCCGAAGGGAAGCUGUUAAGUCCGCCGCCUGGGAAGUACGGUCGCAAGACUGAAACUUAAAGGAAUUGGCGGGG